CUUCAAGUACUUAGUACGUACGUUCGCCAAACCGACAAUCGAGGCUUCAUAACACCAAUCAUAUGAAAAACUCGAGUAUGCAGGGCAGAAGACUUCUUGGUGCCGUCUUCAUACUUCUCGUCUUGUUGAUGAUGACAUCGAUUUUCGACGUCAAGUACAAUAGUCUUACCAAGAUGCACAUGGGUGCUCCAAGACCACGACCUGAGCAACGGUUUGCUCACCACACUGCACUACAAGACUUCCCGUUCCAAACUUUAGCAACAAUCAGCAAUGUAAUCUACGGGAACCACACGCAGCGGAAUGUGACAGGGCACUGUGACACCAAGGUAACGUCCCUGAUUCUUCCGAAAAUAGUUAAAUCGGGUUGGUAGAAUAUAGGA